CAAGAAUGGGCAGUGCAGUUUCAGCUGCAGAUACCAUUUCUUAGGGCUGGUCCAGAGAAGACUGUGAAAUCCACAGCUGUCAAAACCUUUCAGUUCUGGAAAAGCUGCCUGGAAGAGACAGGGUAAGGUAGACCCACCACCUGCAUAAUGCCCAGUUGUAGUCACACGGCUAACAACAGCCAGCCAGCACAGAGGACUGAGCUCUGCCACCUGGCAUGCCUGAGGGGGUAAGGAGCCAUAAGGAUGCGAGAUACUGCAUAGCAUCAUAAAUCUUGCAGUUUGGGAGGCCAGAAGUGUUUCUCAGCAAAGGCUUUGAGAUUUAUCUGGACCAGCCAUAGCUUUGCAAUUGCUGUGAGUGUGUAUGGGGGGAGAAAGUGUGUAUCUCAAACACAUCAGUGAAUUAAAAACAUACAGUUCCCACUCUCCAGAAUCAGCUGGGGGAAAAAGACAAAACAUGUCUGAGAAAGUACAUUUUCCUGUGUCUUCUGGUGAUAUCCUGGUCUCCUUCUUUCAAGCCACUUUGGUAAGCUUGAUGUCCCCUGAGAUCCGCAAAGCUUUCACCAGGUUCAGAGGCUGAAUGCGGUGAGUGAAGUCACAGAGCUGCCGUCCAUCAACCAAGACUCGUAUCUGCUGGUGUUCACAUAAGAGCUCCAUCUGCAGUGGAAAAGGACAGGGAAGGCUGUUGGAAAUCAGCAGCAGAGCUCAUUCCAAUAGCAUGGACUUAGAACUAAAUGCUACGGGAAACCACAAAGCAAAGCACAAAGUCUAGCAGUUCUUUUGAAAUGCCCCUAAUAAAUAACCUACCCUCUUCUGAGGUGAUACUGCAGAGCUCCAGUGGGUACUCUAGCUGUGAUUAGAGAAAGAGAUGCCUCUUUCCCAUCAGGGCUCAAACUGUUGCUGUCUGUGCUAUACUAGACAGCAGGUUAACUAGACUAGUUAACCUGGCAAUGCCAGUGGCUGGCUGUUGGUGGUGAUAUACAUAGCUUUUAGCUUUUCUCCCCUUCUUUUCUCUACACUAUUCAUAAUACCUGAAAAAUUACCUUGAACGUGUCACCUGCUGUAAAUGGAAAGUAGGGAAUAGUCUUCUCUUCUCUUCCCCAUUUCCCAGCAAUUCGUGCAUUUCGGGUGAUGGAUUUCUCACUGAAGUUAACUGUAAAUAACAGCCCAACAUCUUUGUUGGCAUCCACUGGAUCACAGAGCAGAGUCACUGAAAAGCUGAAAAAAGAUCUGUUACUGGAACUUUCAGAAAUAUGAAAGGACAUGGUGAACAUGGCAGAUGCAUAUAGAGACUAGAGACAGCUGUUGGUUCCAUGUCAGACUGAAACACAGGACUUCCACUGGCUUAGAAGCUGGAGAAAGGGAUGAGACCUGGCUGGUCUUUGUUUCCUGCCCCAGUGUCCAGUAGAAUGCUAGUGAUAUCUAAUGUUGCUUUCCCUCUGUCUUGACUGAAAUCAAACCCUUCAAAAUGUACUCAUUUGUGUCCUAAAAAAGGUUGUGGCAUACUCUUCACCAGUGGAAGCAGUGGAGCUGAUAGCUGUGGAUGCAAAAACUGUGUAAUGAUGAGCACAGUUGCUGUUAUCCAGAUAAAAGACAGCAAUGAACCUUCACCUCCUGUGCCAAAACUGGUUUUUAAACGGUGUUGAUUCCAACCCCCCACAGACAACCAAGAUUCAGGUUGAGAAUUGCACCUCUUCCUGAAAGAGAAAUGCCACUUAUGUGUUCCCUCCAGUUCACAUUAGAUAAGGGCAAGGAGUAGAAAAUCUUGUCAGGGCAGUCAGAAAGGCCAAACAGUGAAGUCCUCCCUGACCUUUUAAUCUUCGUCUGAGUGCAGAAAAAUUAAAUAAGGCCAUAAAUUGUUAAUCUGUUUGACUUUCUUCGUUCAAAGAACACAUACUUCCAAGAAAGUGUCUGAAUUUAGAAGACAGGUAGGAGCAUGUAUAACAGGGUGAAGCCCCCAGCAGUCCCUUCACCUACCUCUUGGGCUUGGAGUGUACCAUGCCUAUGACUGUGAGUUUCAUGGUUGGUCUCAGGCCACCUUUAAUUUCACCAACAUACUGCUCCACCUGCAGGGAACAGUGAAAAUGGCUUCAGUGGGUCAUGCUGUGGGUAAACCAGCUUUAACAGCUGCUUUGAUCACUUCACAUAACCUGGGUUUACUUUCAUAUGUUCUAAAUAACUUAAAAGUAUUUCCAGCUCAAAGUACUUCUUGCAGUCUGAUGACACAAUAAAUCUGGUAACAGCA